UGUCAGUAAGAAUUUUUAUCUUUAGCAAUGCUGAUAAAACUAAAUUUAAAAAAAAAAAAAAGAGUAUUUCCAGCUUUCCAACCAAAUAUUAGAGACUUUUACAAAAGCACCAUCACAAAAUAAUGCUUUUAUAAUCAAUUUAAAAGUCUUUCAAAUCGUUAAUCAUUUUCUAAAGGCGUAGAAAAAGAAUCAUCAAUCUUCAUACUAUUUAAUAAAGCUAUUUUAAUAAAACGCAA